CAACCCUCAAGCUCUGCUUGGUAUUGGGUGUCACUUUUCUGGUGCACCUUAAAAUCAGUGGCGGUGCCAUCUGGCUUCUAGCAUAGUAAAUACUUCUUGCUAUGGAGUUUAGGUGUUUGCUUGCCAUAACCCCUAUUUUACA
rnacentral:misc_RNA from 1 species